UGGGGAAUAUUGCACAAUGGAGGGAACUCUGAUACAGCAACGCCGCGUGCGGGAUGACGGCCUUCGGGUUGUAAACCGCUUUCAGCCAUGACGAAGCUUUUGUGACGGUAGUGGUAGAAGAAGCACCGGCUAACUACGUGCCAGCAGCCGCGGUGAUACGUAGGGUGCGAGCGUUGUCCGGAAUUAUUGGGCGUAAAGAGCUUGUAGGCGGUUUGUCGCGUCGAUAGUGUAAACACGCAGCUUAACUGUGUGCCUGCUGUCGAUACGGGCUGACUAGAGGAGGGUAGGGGAGAAUGGAAUUCCCGGUGGAGCGGUGGAAUGCGCAGAUAUCGGGAGGAACACCAGUGGCGAAGGCGGUUCUCUGGACCUUUCCUGACGCUGAGAAGCGAAAGCGUGGGUAGCAAACAGG
rnacentral:rRNA from 1 species